AUGGGAUGGAGCUGGAUCAUUGUCUUCCUGGUGACAGCAGCUACAGGUGUCCACUCCCAGGUCAAGCUGCAGCAGACUGUGGCUGAGCUGGUGAAGCCUGGAGCCUCAGUGAAGCCGUCCUGCAAGGCUUCAGGCUACACCUUCACCAGCCACUAUAUGAGCUGGGUGAAACAGAAGCCUAGACAGGGUCUGGAGUUGAUUGGAUGGAUUGACCCUGGAAAUAGUGGUAAUAGCUACAAUCAGAAUUUCCAGCACAAGGCCACACUGACUGCAGACACAUCCUCCAGCACAGCCUACAUGGAGCUCAACAGAAUGACAUCUGAGGACUCUGCAGUCUAUUACUGUGCCAGACAACACAGUGUUGCAAACACAUCCUGA